rnacentral:misc_RNA from 1 species
AAGUCGUAACAAGGUAACCGUAGGUGAACCUGCGGUUGGAUCAUUAGUGGUUUUUACGUAGCGCUGUUGUAGUGUUUCUGGGGGGUGUUGGUCUUUGGUUUUGUGUGUUUGUCUGUUUUUGUCUUUGUUUGUCUGUUUUUGCGCAUUGCCUUGUGCUGCCUUGUGCGGUGUCUUGUGCGGUGCCGUGGCAGUACAAACGGAUCGACGGCAACACUCGGACCAGACCCAAGAACCCUUGCAGACAAUAGACGUCUUUGCUUGCUUUGAUGAAACCAAAUCAAAAACAACUUUUGACAACGGAUCUCUUGGCUCUC